rnacentral:rRNA from 1 species
UCGGGGUCAGCGGCGGACGGGUGAGUAACGCGUGGGAACGUGCCUUCUGGUUCGGAAUAACCCUGGGAAACUAGGGCUAAUACCGGAUACGCCCUUUUGGGGAAAGGUUUACUGCCGGAAGAUCGGCCCGCGUCUGAUUAGCUAGUUGGUGGGGUAACGGCCUACCAAGGCGACGAUCAGUAGCUGGUCUGAGAGGAUGAUCAGCCACACUGGGACUGAGACACGGCCCAGACUCCUACGGGAGGCAGCAGUGGGGAAUAUUGGACAAUGGGCGCAAGCCUGAUCCAGCCAUGCCGCGUGAGUGAUGAAGGCCUUAGGGUUGUAAAGCUCUUUUAUCCGGGACGAUAAUGACGGUACCGGAGGAAUAAGCCCCGGCUAACUUCGCGCCAGCAGCCGCGGUAAUACGAAGGGGGCUAGCGUUGCUCGGAAUCACUGGGCGUAAAGGGCGCGUAGGCGGCGUUUUAAGUCGGGGGUGAAAGCCUGUGGCUCAACCACAGAAUGGCCUUCGAUACUGGGACGCUUGAGUAUGGUAGCGGUUGGUGGAACUGCGAGUGUAGAGGUGAAAUUCGUAGAUAUUCGCAAGAACACCGGUGGCGAAGGCGGCCAACUGGACCAUUACUG